ACGCACGCUGGCGGCGUGCUUCACCCCUGCACGUCGAACGGAAAGGCCCUGCUUUUGUGGGGUGCUCGAGUGGCGAACGGGUGAGUAACACGUGAGUAACCUGCCCUUGACUUUGGGAUAACUUCAGGAAACUGGGGCUAAUACCGGAUAGGAGCUCCUGCUGCAUGGUGGGGGUUGGAAAGUUUCGGCGGUUGGGGAUGGACUCGCGGCUUAUCAGCUUGUUGGUGGGGUAGUGGCUUACCAAGGCUUUGACGGGUAGCCGGCCUGAGAGGGUGACCGGCCACAUUGGGACUGAGAUACGGCCCAGACUCCUACGGGAGGCAGCAGUGGGGAAUAUUGCACAAUGGGCGGAAGCCUGAUGCAGCAACGCCGCGUGCGGGAUGACGGCCUUCGGGUUGUAAACCGCUUUCGCCUGUGACGAAGCGUGAGUGACGGUAAUGGGUAAAGAAGCACCGGCUAACUACGUG
rnacentral:rRNA from 1 species